rnacentral:rRNA from 1 species
CGGAGGGUGCAAGCGUUGUUCGGAAUUACUGGGCGUAAAGCGCGGGCAGGUGGCCUUUUAAGUCCUUUGUGAAAUUCCGGAGCUCAACUCCGGAUGUGCAUAGGAUACUGGAUGGCUUGAGACUGGUAGAGGCGAGCGGAAUUCCUGGUGUAGCGGUGGAAUGCGUAGAUAUCAGGAAGAACACCGGUGGCGAAGGCGGCUCGCUGGGCCAGUUCUGACACUCAUCCGCGAAAGCGUGGGGAGCAAACAGGAUUAGAUACCCUGGUAGUCCACGCUGUAAACGAUGGGCACUAGAUGCCGGGCCUAUAGACGGGUUCGGUGUCGCAGCUAACGCAUUAAGUGCCCCGCCUGGGGAGUACGGCCGCAAGGCUG